AAUCCUCCUCCAAUGGACUGCUUUGUUGCCGAGGUCGUGAAGGGGACAAGGUCUACUACAUAUGUAAUCCUUUUACUAAGCAGUGGAAGGAACUACCAAAAUCAAAUGCUUAUCAUGGAUCAGAUCCAGCAAUUGUGCUCUUAUUUGAACCAUCAUUGCUCAACUUUGUAGCAGAGUACAAAAUUAUAUGUGCUUUUCCAUCGACAGAUUUUGACAAGGCAACUGAAUUUGAUAUAUAUUACUCAAGAGAGGGUUGU
rnacentral:misc_RNA from 1 species